GCAGACACAUUCCAGCCAAUCAGCAGCAGACCCUCCCUCCCAGACCCUCCCACCUCCUGGACAGCAUCCAUUUUACAUUCAUUGUGAAGCUGCAUUCUUAGUGAGCUGUCCAGGAGGUGGGAGGGUUUGGGAGGGAGGGUCUGCUGCUGAUUGGCUGGAAUGUUUCUG